CCUACGGGAGGCAGCAGUAGGGAAUAUUGCUCAAUGGGGGAAACCCUGAUGCAGCAACGCCGCGUGAAGGAUGAAGUUUUUCGGUUCGUAAAGUUCUUUUGGUAGAGAAGAUAAUGACGGUAUCUAACGAAUAAGCACCGGCUAACUACGUGCCAGCAGCCGCGGUAAUACGGAGGGGGCAAGCGUUACUCGGAUUGACUGGGCGUAAAGAGCGCGUAGGCGGGAGAGCAAGUCUGAUGUGAAAUCCUAUGGCUUAACCAUAGAACUGCAUUUGAAACUGUUAAUCUAGAGUAUGGGAGAGGUAGGCGGAAGUCUUGGUGUAGGGGUGAAAUGCGUAGAUAUCAAGAGGAAUACUCAUUGCGAAGGCGACCUGCUAGAACGUAACUGACGCGGAUGCGCGAAAGCGUGGGGAGCAAACAGGAUUAGAUACCCUGGUAGUC
rnacentral:rRNA from 1 species